rfam:Salmo salar isolate Sally breed double haploid chromosome ssa03, whole genome shotgun sequence.
UGCAUUCUCUACUGUAAGUCGCUCUGGAUAAGAGCGUCUGCUAAAUGACUUAAA